CAGUCCCAAACACACUCCACACACAAAAUACAGUGCCGCCCGUUCCGGGUGAUCUGCAGAAACAGUUCAGAAGGAGAACGAAAGUCAUACAGGUCUGGAACAACAUGACCAUUCAGUUUUAAGUCACUGGUCACUACACUUACUUCAACUCAGACCUGUUUGAAUCCUGUGUGUCCAGCCUGUUUCACUGAACAAUGCCGCCUAGUGUGUGUUCAGGGCCACUGGCCCCACGGUUACUGCUCUAGGAUCGGGACAGGAGCUGACACAAAGCAGCUGUCUGAGACCACUAGAGUGGCAGGAAGUCCUGCCAACAUCUGGUCCUUCUAUUGGAGACCCUCGAGAACCAGAGCAGGCGACAGCAGGCAGACUCUAAAGUCAUUAGGAAGGAUUACCACCCCCUCCUGACCGAGACCGGAAAAUUUGAAUUCCCAUCAAACUCUACCUCUGGGAUAACCUCUGUAGGUAUU